rnacentral:lncRNA from 1 species
CUCUGCCUUUCUCUCUUCUGUUCUGUACUCUGUCGCCAUGUCAUCCCUAUGGUCCCUCACAAGCGAGGGGCUGGCAUUUUUGAAAACCGAUGAAGCCUUCCAGCCAGGGAGGGAAGGACAGGGACAGCAACAGCAUCCACCUUAAAGACCUGUCGUGAGGAUUAAAU